AUUAUUAUAAAGAAGAUAAGAUCAGAAUUUAAAGUGGUAAGUGUAAUACUUAGAUUAUAAAAAUACAUUGAGGGCUAAGUACGAGCCAGGUCUUGAAGGGCAUUACUCUCAGCCCUGAGAUUGUUUGUUUAUAGUGUACUCGGAUCAGUCUGAUCCGUACCAUACACAGUACGGUUGUUGACUUUCCGACGAUGUUUUUUUUUUUUUUUUUUCUUUUGCAGAACAUAAGUAGUGUUCUUGUGUUUGUGAAAGUUUGAAUUUCAACUUGUGAAAAUAUUUACAAAAACUAUAUUUUGAUCCUUGUCAUGUUAUGAAUCACAUUGUUGAAAUUAAAAUCCGUCUAAGAGGCAAUGAGCUAAUAGUUGUGGGAAAUGAAAGAAGUGUUGCAUUUGCCCAUCAAAAAUAGACAAAGAAAACAUGCCAGUUAGCGAGAGAGUCUGAUAUGUAGAAACUGCACCAUUUUGAUGUGUACAAAUUGUGCACUAUAUCAUUCUGGAUAACAAAAGUAUAAUAGCAUGAACUAACUAUUUAUUCGUUAUGUUGUAGACAACAACAUAACGAAUAAGACACUGAAGUUGUGAGCCUGAAGAGGGAUUGGAAAUUUACCAAUCCUAAAUGCAUUGUUAAAUAGGCGAAAUAAAGAGCUGUUUUAAUUUCGGUCUCUGUUAAUUGCAAAUAAUUAAGACGUGAUAAAUAUCAUUAGUCUCACUAUUGGGUAGGCCGAGUAACUAAGCGGCAGCGUACCGCUCGGAGACCCAGGAUCGAAAAAUCUCCAGGAAUUUUUCGGGGGUGAUCCGAUCGGAUAUGUCGGUCCCCGUUCCUCACCAUCCGGUCGCUCCAUUGUGGGCCUGGCCGAACCCAUAAUGGGCUUGCUAAAAGAGGCUCUCAGUACCCACAGGGCGGAAAGGGUUAAAUUAAUUAAUUAAAUUAAAUGUUAAAACUCCCUGUCCUUUGCACACUUUUAAACAAAUUAGAAUGUUCUAGCUCGUUGCCUUUACACAACACUAAUGGCACGCCCCUUGACUAAAGGGAAAAUGGUGAACAUGUAUUCACUUUUUUUUAAAACAUAGCGUUGCUACAGCCAUUCUAUAUAGUAUGUAUAUUUAUUUAUAAAGAAAAAAAGGUGAUGUCUGUAUUUUAGCUCGCUUGGAAUAACUAUUCAAAAGCAUUUUAAAUAUUAUUGUUUAUAUUUCUUUUUGUGUAGCAGUUACUCUAUAUGCCUGUAAUUUACAAACCGUUCGUUUUACAUAAAAUUUAAAAACAAAAUAUUUCUACAAUUAUAUUAAUUGGAAUAAAAGAAAUUACAGAUAAUGCAAAUUUAUUAAAUGUACUUCGUUUUAUGUAAUUUAUAGGGUUUGUUAUUGUCCCACUUAAAGGUCACGUAUCAUUAAGCGUUAUUUGUUUUUUGUGGCGUAACUUACGACUCUCAAUCUUUCUAGUGUACCAUUCGGCAUAGAAAAAUUUACAUUAAAAAAUUAUUAAAAAAUUAAUUAAACAAUACAACAGAGAAUAACACUGUUGAACUUUAUUAUUGUUAUUUUAUUGUUGGAAAAUGUUCGAUUCAGAAGUUGAAAGUUAACAGAAGCGAGACUUGCAAAGCACGGAAUACCCCUGGCCAAACUAAAAAGAUAUUUUGAUCAUGGUACUUUCUUAAUAUUGAGUGCAAUAAAAUCUCUCCAGAAAUUCCGACUUUUGUACAUUGUACUUCGACGCUAUUUUGAAUAGGAAUAUCUCGAGAAGGUAAGUAUUACUUCUUUUCUUGGUCUGUGAUUAAAAUUGAAUUUCAGCAAACGAAAGACAAAAUGAAAAAUCAACAGUCAUUGGACGAAUUGGAAGCAAUAAUUAGUUAAAUGAUUAAUUUUAGAAUUUUAUUGUUGCAAAAUGUAUUAGCAGAUGUUGAUUUAAAUCGAAAAUCGGGACGUUGGAGGAUUCGAAAUGAAUUUAGGUAUGUGAUUAAUCUAUUUAAAAUAUCUCAAUAUUAAUCACAUUUUUUAAGUUUUAGAAAGUGAGGGACGAAAUUAAAAUCAGUCGAUUAGUAAUAAAUUGCGGUUAUGUGAUUAAUUUAUUUUAAAAAAUUCGAUAUUAUAUCAUUGCUUAACUAUUGACAGGCGAGGGUUGCAAUCGAAAAUCAACGGACGAUAGAAAAUGCAAAAUUUGCUUAAGUAAAUUCAAACGAUUUUAAAUUGAGAAUUUUCAUUAGCAGAAAUACAUUCAGAGAUCCAGUUAUUUCUUUUAACAUAUCGUAUGAAAAAUAGAGUUUUAUAUACGUAGAAGUUACAUUCCGGUAUCCGUAAGUGAUGUUUCGUGUUUGAAUAUCAAUAGGCCUUAGGGGAUAAAUAAAGGAGACUAUCUCUUUAACUUUUCCAUAAAGAAUUUAACUCAAAACUUGACGGUAUUAAAAGUCAAAUAAACAGGAAAAUGAAUAUUAUCACUUAUAGAAUUGUAACAUUUAAAUCAGACAACGUUAAUAACGUAACAUUCAGAAUUAUGAUAUAAGAAAAUCUUUCAAAAAUAAUAUUGAGCGACUUCCUCAAAUCAGUUUCUUCUCUGGAACGAAUAGAAUAACGAAUUAGCAUUUGUAUUUUAUCUACUACACAUUUAUUUAUUUCUGAAAACAAUAUUUAAUUUUUUCACAUAAACAAUUAAAUUCGUUAAUUUUGAUAUAUAUUUACAUCAUUCAUUUAAUUUCAGAUAUUUGACAAGAAUAUCAUCUGGUUUGUACUGCUUCAAGAUGGAAUUUCUUUUGACAUUUCUUUGUCGUAAUAGAAAAAGGAACAAUCGGGAUAAGUAAUUUCUAAUAUCUUCAAUAUGAUAAUUUUUUGCGAAAUUUAAUACGUAUUACGCUUAGAUUGUACAGUAUUAACAUUAUAAUUUGACAAAUCAGUAUCCUUCUUACAUUCUGUUUUAAAUAAUAUCUCUCAAGUUAUUUUUUUCGGAAAGAACUUUUACAGAAUGGAUUUAUUCUCAUACUAUAACAAAUAACUUAUCAAAUAAACAGUUAUUGAAAUUGCACUGAUUUAUAGUAACUGUAAUUGACUAUGGAGAUGAAUAUGGAUAUGAGAAAUUUUCGUCCAAAAUCAGUAACAAUUAUCCCAAUAAACCCUAAUAUACUAGAAUAUAAAAACAAGUUAUGCAAUUGCUUAAAAAUCAGUGUUAUUCAAACUGGGUUCUCACGGAAUCACGGAAUCCUGAGAAUUUUCUGAAGGAAGUAAGGAAUUACACAAGAGGCGUUUUCAGUUAAAAUUCUGAAAUAUACCAAAUCAAAUUCAGAUGACAGAUCGACAAAUUUCUCAAGAACAAAGUAGGACUUAUCCAAUACAGAUAUCAACUUAUCUUAGCGAACAUUGGCAACAUCUUGGGAUUGUUCUCCAUUAUAUGAAACAUGUCGUCUACUAUUUUUACUAUGAGAAUGUUUUCAUUGGUAAUUUUUCUAAAAACGGAGAAAACUGAAAUAAGGCAUAAUACUAACAUAUAAGUUGCUCGUUUUAUGUGUAGGAUAUGCUAUGUUGUAUUUAAAAUACUCGGAUCAGUAUCAACCUUAAAAGAUGAAUUUAUUAAACGAGACAACGAUUCUAUUACGAAUUUGCAAAUAUUUUUUUAUAAGUUUUUGCUGUUAUUCCAUCAUAAUCUAUAACAAAAGCAAUUGGAAAUUCAUUACGUUAGCAUAACAGUAGAAAAAUAUUCAUGCAUAACGUCAAGCAUUACUAAAAUUCUACAUAAAAAUUCUAUUUGAAUCUAUUUUUGUACCAUGUGUCUCCAAUUCCGGUUUUUAUAAUUCUGUCUAUUUGUUCUUCUGGAUGUAAUAAAUUCUAAAUAAAUCAACGAUGCCUAAGAUUUCUGGGAUUUCCGGCAUUUCAUACUU